GGGGCCGUGGAGCAGUCUGGAGUGCUCGGGACCCUGUCAAGGUCCAGGUCGCGGGUUCAAAUCCCGUCGGCCCCGCCA
rnacentral:tRNA from 1 species